UUGUGUUAACAGGAUAUGCAGCGCUUAUUUUGUUGAAUUUGUUUUCAGAGUCUCUGUGUUUUUGCUUUUGUAUUGUGUCUGCAUUUGCAGGAGAAAGGAGACAGGGGGGUUGGCAGGACUCCAGGACUCUGUAGCAGAUCCAGCAGAAGUGGGUCCAGGUCCAGAUCCUGCUCGAAGUCUGCAAGGGCAUCUAUCACAGCAUGAGUGCUAAUGCUAGCUCAGACAGAGCGUCACUGAGUUAAGAGUGAAAAUAUUGUUGAAAUACAACAAGACAUAUCACCAUAUCAGCUCCUCUGAAGUGGCCCUCAAAUAUAAACAUGUGUCCUCACUUUGGGCCACCAGGGGGCAGCAUUAAACCUCCUGUGAGUCAACCACUGUUCAGCUGGUUAGUUCCUAUGCGGCAGGAAGGAUUCGAACCAGACUCCUCUCACCUGGAGAGCUUCACCUUGCGGCGGUAGACCAACGAAUCGGACCACCAGAGCCCUUCCCACUCAGCUUCUCUCUCAGCUCUUCACCCAUCAACUUCCGCUGAUUCAACCAAUCACGAGCGGAGCUAGGCGGGCCACAGUCGGUCGACCAAUCAGCGCCUUGUCUGACGACGUUGGCUAGCGUCUGCCGUCAUUCGACGUGACCUGAGCGGAGGAGAGCAGAGCGGCGGACAAACAAACACGGAAAAAACGAGUAAAAAUACGGAGUAAAAUCAACGUUUGAGUCGCCGCUUCGUCGCAUCAGUUUGUUAACACACGAAGACUCUUCAUCACCGAGGAAAUCUGGAUGUUAAAACGAGCUUUGGAGCUGUUUUUGUCGAACACGAGUGAGGCUGGACGCUGAGCACACGUGCGACGCUAAGGUUUUUCCAGGCCUUUCCAGGUCUCCCUCUCCAGCUGCUGCAGCCUGGACAGAAACACCAGCUCUCACACACCACAGAGGUGUCACCACUUCAUCCAGAGUGCAGAGACCAGGACCAGGAUCCACCACGGAGACCUUCAGGUGAAUUCACAGAAACGUCUGGAUCCACUGAAGGUGAAGGAGGAGGAGGAAGCAGCUGAUGAAAGAAAACCACAGAGUGAUGAAGCUGUUGAUCACAGACAGACUGACAGACCUGCUGCUUCUAACAACAAGACACUGAACUCAACUGGAAACACUUUGUUUUAUUGUCCCACCAACAUGUGAUGGAGCUGUGAGCUUAUUUCACACUAACACGUGUCCAUCAAACAUCUUUAACAACACAAAACUGUUUACGAUUCAAUGAUGGUAUCAUGAACAGUUAAAUGUCGUUAGCGUGUCUCCAGUUGAACUUCAAUAGAAACAUCAGCAAACUUCA